rnacentral:rRNA from 1 species
UACAGAGGGUGCGAGCGUUAAUCGGAAUUACUGGGCGUAAAGCGCGCGUAGGCGGCUUUUCAAGUCGAUUGUGAAAUCCCCGGGCUUAACCUGGGAACUGCAGUCGAGACUGUCUAGCUAGAGUAUGGGAGAGGGAAGUGGAAUUUCAGGUGUAGCGGUGAAAUGCGUAGAUAUCUGAAGGAACAUCAGUGGCGAAAGCGACUUCCUGGACCAAUACCGACGCUCAUGUGCGAAAGCGUGGGGAGCAAACAGG